GUUCACGGUUGUUCUUGUUUUACAAACAACUAAUGUGGCUGUUGUAUGUUGUGUUGUGUUGUGUUUAGAUUUGCCAAAUGGAGGAAUAUUGCAAAUCGAGCACGUAGCGUAGUGCAAUUAAUCUAUUCACGUGGAGAUACAAUGAGUCAGAUUCCUAUUUGGGAGGAUUUUAAAAGAAUCUCUUACCUAAGGAUGUUAUUUUAGUGACUGGGAGUAGAAAAAUAAGGAUUCGUUAAAGAGAUCCAAACUGUAAUAGGAUUUGGUCAAAUUGGAAUCGUAGUAGCCAGUAGCCAUUGUUUCUCUGAAUACAAAAUGUCUUCAUAUCAGAUAAGUUUUACAUUAAUUAUUAGGGGUUGAUGGGAUGGAUUAUAAUUUAUAUUUUUGCAGUUCCAUAACACGAGUUGUCAAAUUAAAAUCUACCUAACAAAUUGGUAAAAGUAUUAAUUAACAGGUACCUACCUACUACAAGGAUAAUACAGGACGGGGGAGGGGUGCACACAAAUUAUUGUAUUAAAAACAGAGCUGGCGUAUUAGGAGGUCAAAGACAUAGAGGCGUUGUCCAUUUAGUCGUCGAGUGACAAAUAGUAAAGAGACGCAACUAUAAUGUAAAAUUGCGGUACACAUUCCCCAUCACACUGACCGUCCACAGUAGGAGUGGUGUGACCGUGGUAGACGUGCGACUCUGGUGCUUAAAAUCGCUCAAUAACACGAAAGAUAACGGGGAUCAAAAAUGAGUUGCUGCGAGUCACCGUUGGAAGUUCAAGUUAAGUACGAUUUCCUAUGUAAACAAAAAUUCUAAAGGUGACUCGACAGCAAUUCAGUUUUGAUCGCACAGUAGGUAGUAUAAUCGUUUGGUGCCGAUUGAGUUAGGUACGAUCACAAUGCACAACCGGCAUCAUAAUUUGCACUUCAUAAGUAGAUCACCUUGUUGUACGAAAAGAGGGGGGUGGGAUACAUGCUCGCACAGCUUAGUAUCGGGCGAUCAAAAAUGCGUUGCUCUCAAGUUGCCUUUGGAAGUUCAAGUGAAGUACGAAAUCUCAUUUAAACAAAAUUUCCAAAGGUGACUCGCCGAUGACUCAUUUUUGAUAGCAAGCGCCUACUACGUUAAUAUUUCAUGAGUUUUUUUUGUUACAGACUCGCCGAAUUCAAACACGCUUGGAACACGUUUAGGGAGUUGUUUUUUACAGAAUGGAUGCAAUAGAAUGAAUUACGUACCUCUUUUUGAUGGAGUGGAGCUCCCAAACAGGCACUCUCUUCUUCAAAAACUUUGCAAGAGAGCUUGGUUGUAAGGGCUUUGUUGCCAAGUGGAUUUGCUACAUUUGAACUACUCAUCGUUAAUAUUUUAAUGUUUUUAGCAAUUGAAUUUUGUAAACUGGCACGGGAUUAACGCGUUAUCACUAAUUAGAAUGCUCUGCAAGAAUAUUUGCGCCGGCUUUCAAGUGGAGGGCCCUUUCGUGUCGUAACUACUGCGCUCCGUUUCAUGCAUGCGCAGAUUCAAAGAGAGCCGAGACGUUUAAGGUUUCGGUUACAGAGUUGAUUGUUGUUAAUGAGAGAUAAACAAAAUGAAAUGGAUUACCUACCUUUAAAAUGCGAUGAGGCGCUUUAUCUGGCACUUACAGUUGCAGUUUGAACAGCUUGAAACGCAACCGCCAUUUUUGUAGAAAAAGAUAUCUUGGACGCUGUUGCCAAGUCUAACUUUUGGCUGCAUUUUAUACUGCGUGCUCAAUUUUUGAUAUGCUUCUCUUAAAGACCUUUGUCAAUUAAUGUUACCGCUGACUAACCAGAUCCACUGCAUGCGCCAUAAAACUUGGGCACCGGACCAAAGUGGACAGGCAGAAUACUGAAGAAUUUUUUUCUUUUGGCGACUCUUUAAGUGCAGUAAAAAUUCUUGCAGCCCGUAAAAGCCUCUUCUGGGAUUGGUAAGGGCUCUCUUAAAGACUUCACAGCAAUGCUUUUAAAAAUCCUUAAUUCGCUCUAAGAGUGUUGAAGAACCUUUACGAGACCUUAAUAUGGGCUACCAAGAACCACAAAGUCUUGAAGAGUAAUGGAAUUUGAUGCUACACGGUCGUUAUACAAAGUACAAACGUUUAUAGUUUUAUCCUGUAUAAUCUGUUACGUUUUUCUGUGUAAUAAAAAUUAUUGUUAUCCUCAUG